rnacentral:rRNA from 1 species
GUGCACGCUGGCGGUAGGCCUAACACAUGCAAGUCGAACGGCAGCACAGUAAGAGCUUGCUCUUACGGGUGGCGAGUGGCGGACGGGUGAGGAAUACAUCGGAAUCUACUUUUUCGUGGGGGAUAACGUAGGGAAACUUACGCUAAUACCGCAUACGACCUACGGGUGAAAGCAGGGGAUCUUCAGACCUUGCGCGAUUGAAUGAGCCGAUGUCGGAUUAGCUAGUUGGCGGGGUAAAGGCCCACCAAGGCGACGAUCCGUAGCUGGUCUGAGAGGAUGAUCAGCCACACUGGAACUGAGACACGGUCCAGACUCCUACGGGAGGCAGCAGUGGGGAAUAUUGGACAAUGGGCGCAAGCCUGAUCCAGCCAUACCGCGUGGGUGAAGAAGGCCUUCGGGUUGUAAAGCCCUUUUGUUGGGAAAGAAAAGCAGCAGGUUAAUACCCCGCUGUUCUGACGGUACCCAAAGAAUAAGCACCGGCUAACUUCGUG